UAGUAAAGAAGUUCGGUUAAAUUCGCAACGUCCUGUUGCAACACCGAACGUCUCUACUUCCUGUGAG
rnacentral:sRNA from 1 species